rnacentral:rRNA from 1 species
UACAGAGGGGGCAAGCGUUGUUCGGAAUUACUGGGCGUAAAGGGCGCGUAGGCGGCCUGUUAAGUCGAACGUGAAAUCCCCGGGCUCAACCCGGGAACUGCGUCCGAUACUGGCAGGCUUGAAUCCGGGAGAGGGAUGCGGAAUUCCAGGUGUAGCGGUGAAAUGCGUAGAUAUCUGGAGGAACACCGGUGGCGAAGGCGGCAUCCUGGACCAAUACUGACGCUGAGGAGCGAAAGCCAGGGGAGCAAAACGGGG